CUCUAUAGUAUGCUUUCAGAUGGUCCCGUUGAUUGCAACAAUAGCCCCAUUUAUGGUUUUAGUUUUUGGUUCAUACAACACAGGCCUUGCACCAAGCCUGCAAGGAAUAUAUAUUCUUCCCCAUCUCAACCUUCACUAAGACCUUGUCUACACUAAAGUGUUUUGUUCACAAAAGUCAGUUUUUGUUGACAAAACAGUAGAUUUGUACACACUACAAUGCUCCUCCUACUGAUUUAACUCUCCUGCUAUGCCAACAAAAUAAAGCCACCUUGAGGAGACGUGUAGGGCUUUCUGCAGCAAAAGUUAGAUUGAUGCAGUGUCAGUGUAGACACUGCACUUGGUGAUGUCACCUCCCAAAGGCCAUUUAUGGCAUCUCACAAUGUCCAUCCUGACCACUCUGGUCAGCAGAUCAAGGUACAUAGGCAUCUGCCCUUCCCCCUUUAAAGGGACAGGAAUUUUUGAAAUUCCACUUCCUGUUUGCUCAGCAUGGAGAGCUCACAUCGCCUUUUUCCAGCUGACCGUAGCAGCUCCACACACUAAAUGAUCUGUCACAUAGAGUACACUAGAGUAGUGGGAUCUGCUGGCUCUGUACAGAGGGGAGGUUGGACAGUCCCAGCUCCGCUCCAGUCACAACUUCUAUAUCUAUGGGCAGAUUUCCUUGGCAUGUUGGAUAAGGGCUAUGAAUGGGACAUGCAUCAGUGCUGUGCGAAGAUAAAGAAGCUGAAGGAAGCAUACCAGAAGGCAAGAGAGUCAAACUGUCAUUGGUGCUGCACUGAAGACCUGCUGCUUCUACAAGGAGCUGGAUGCCAUCCUCGGCAAUGACCCCAUCUCCACCACCAAGGGCCCUAUGGAUACUUCAGGGGCGUUGGAGAUAGCGGCCAGCAGACUCAACCCCAAGGACAAAGAGGUGGACGAAGAAAUGGAGUUGGAGGAUGAGAUGGGACAAGCAAUAGGGUCAUCUGGUAGCAUGUCAUGCCAGGAACGCUUCUUAACCCCCGAGAAUUCGAGCCAGUCCCAGCACUCUAGCUGUGGCACACUUGAUGCAGGAGACGGGAGUUCUGAAGUGGCCUUCAGGGCAACCCCCUACACACCAGCAGAGUGCCUCUGCCAGAUAAGGAAGUGACCCAGGAGAAGCAAGGAGGACAAGUUUUGGGAGGUGCUCCAAUCCUCUAAUGCCACAGAUCAAGAACACAGGUUGGGGAGACAAUUAAUGAAUGACUUUAAAUAGAUAGCCAGGACAGGAAGCUGGGCCAGGAGGGAAUUUUAGUGGGCCAGGAACAGAUGAUAAAAGUGAUGGAGGACCAAACCGAGAUGCUGAAGUCCCUAACUGAGCUGCAGACAGAACACCUGUGUGCUCACCCACCUUACCCCACGGCCCAUACAGAACCGCUUGCCAUGCCCUCCCCAAACUCCUCCCAUACAUUCCUUGCAUCUUCCUGGUCCAUCACAGUACCCCGUUCACUCUACCACUUCCAAACUGAAAACUGGAUUUACACACACACAGCUACGAGAGCCUCCAUCACAAGAGUGUUCCUCUCAGUGGUAGGUCCCUUUCAACAAAGCAUUUUCUGUGCAUUGUUUAUUGCUGUUUAAUAAAAAAAAAUUCAAAGAA